rnacentral:rRNA from 1 species
GUAGGUGGCAAGCGUUGUCCGGGAAUUAUUGGGGCGUAAAGCGCGCGCAGGCGGUUCUUUAAGGUCCGAUGUGAAAGCCCACGGGCUCAACCGUGGAGGGUCAUUGGAAACUGGAGAACUUGAGUACAGAAGAGGAAAGCGGAAUUCCACGUGUAGCGGUGAAAUGCGUAGAGAUGUGGAGGAACACCAGUGGCGAAGGCGGCUUUCUGGUCUGUAACUGACGCUGAGGCGCGAAAGCGUGGGGAGCAAACAGGAUUAGAUACCCUGGUAGUCCACGCCGUAAACGAUGAGUGCUAAGUGUUAGGGGGUUUCCGCCCCUUAGUGCUGCAGCUAACGCAUUAAGCACUCCGCCUGGGGAGUACGGCCGCAAAGGCUGA